AUGAUCUUAGAGCUUCUUGCUAACGGCCACACAUGGCCUCCUCUACCGCUCUUCUUCAGCAGAAUCAAAUCUACUGGAAAAUCCCACUCUGUAAGUUUCACUCACCUUUCUCUCACUCUAAAUCGCCUUCUUCCUCCCAUCUUCUCCCUUUCCCCGGAACCAACCGCACUGUUAAGCCUGUUUUCUGCUUUCCAUCUCUUGUUUUCACUCCCAUAGAUAUUACUCCCCGGAGUGAAAACUCUGACCUCACAACAGACGAACUUAGUCACAGAAACGGUAGCAAAUGUUCCUCUGGGUUUCCUCGUAAGAGGACGAAAGUCGAAACAUUUGUGGACAUAAGUUCUAAACACAACCUAGCUGUGUCUGGAGCAGCUAAAAGCAUUGGCAGUCGUGCUGUUAGGGAUAGACGUGAAAGGGAAAUCGUGAAUUCUAAUGUAGAGAUUAAAAAAAAUUCUGGGGUGAAAGGGAAAUCAGAAGAUGAUAUUUUGAUUGAAAGAUUGAAUAAAACCAUUCAGAGGAAUGUAGUUGUUAGAGGAAAACAUGCUGUAAAGAAAGGUUCUGCGUUUUCUCCGCCCAAGUUUAAAGGUGGUGGGAACUUUAAAGAGAAGAACUAUACAGAAACCAAAGAUGGGGAUGUUGUUAUUUUUAAUGGAAAAUCGAAGAGAGCUUGUGAUUGGAAUCAAUCUGGAGAAGAGAACAUGGAAAUGGUGGUUAAAAGAAGUAAGCAGGUGGAUUCACCUUCUUCCUUGCUGAGAGUUGGCCUUGAAAUGUGUUCAAAAAAGGGUGAUGUUAUGGGUGCACUUGAACUGUAUGAUUCAGCUAAAAGAGAGAAUUUGCAGAUGAGUCAGUAUCACUACAAUGUACUCUUAUAUCUAUGUUCUUCUGCUGCAACCGGGGUCAUUCAUCCUGCAAAGAGCGGAAGUGGCAGUCGAGUUUUGAAUCGUUCUGAAAUUCGGGUGGGCGAAGAUUUCAAGAAUUACGCACUUGAGAGAGGAUUUGAAAUCUAUGAGAAAAUGUGUUUGGAAGAUAUAGAAAUGAAUGAAUCAAGCUUGACGUCGGUUGCCAGAUUGGCACUGGCGAUGGGCAAUGGUGACAUGGCAUUUGAAACUGUGAAGCAAAUGAAGACGUUGGGGAUAAGCCCUAGGUUGAGAUCUUAUGGCCCGGCUUUAUCUGCCUUUUGCAAGAAUGGGGAUAUCGAUAAGGCAUUUUCUGUUGAAGAGCACAUGCUGGAGAACAAUGUUCAUCCUGAAGAACCUGAACUAGAGGCACUUUUAAGGGUAAGUAUGGAAACCGGUAGAGCUGACAAGGCUUAUUAUCUGUUACACAAACUUAGGACAAGUGUGAGGAAGGUCUCACCAUCUGUUGCCAAUCUGGUAGAGGAAUGGUUCAAUAGCAAGGCAGCCUCAAGAGUGGGGAAAAGAAAAUGGGAUGAAAAAUUGUUGAGUAGAACAAUUGCAGACCGAGGUGGAGGAUGGCACGGGGAGGGCUGGUUAGGUAUAGGAAAAUGGACGGUUGUGCGCACAUCAGUUGGAGAAGACGGAUUUUGUAAUUGCUGUGGCGAAAAGUUGGCAAUCAUUGACCUUGAUCCAGUACAAACUGAGAAUUUUGCUCAGUCUGUUGUUGCCAUAGCAACUAACAGAGAGAAAAACGCUAGCUUUCAGAAAUUUCAGAAAUGGCUAGAUUACUAUGGUCCAUUUGAAGCAGUAGUGGAUGCAGCAAAUGUAGGACUUCUGACCCAAAGAAAGUUUAAACCUUCCAAGGUAAAUGCAGUGGUGAAUGGAAUUCGACAAAUGCUUCCUUCGAAGAAAUGGCCAUUGAUUAUCUUGCAUAACAGACGUAUAACUGGAGACAACAUGGAUAAACCAGUAAAUAAGGGUUUAGUUGAGAAGUGGAAAAAUGCGGAUGCACUCUUUUCCACUCCGACUGGUUCAAACGAUGACUGGUACUGGUUGUAUGCAGCUAUUAAGUAUAAAUGCUUAAUUGUGACUAAUGAUGAGAUGAGAGACCACUUAUUUCAGCUUCUAGGAAAUGAUUUCUUUCCCAGGUGGAAAGAAAGGCAUCAGGUUCGUUUUAGCUUCUCCGAGACAGGUCCACUAUUCCAAAUGCCGCCUCCUUGCUCAGUUGUCAUUCAGGAAUCUGAGAAUGGACAUUGGCAUAUACCUGUGGCAGCAGAAUGUGACUCUGAAGACAAAAGAACAUGGUUGUGCAUCACACGUUCUAGCUCAAGUAAGGCGAAGGGAGUUUCUGCUGACUCUAACAAAUGUUCGCGAGAAGCACCACAAAAGGAAAAAUCAAGCAGAGAACUUCCUAAACCUCAGGCAGACCUCCUACUACCAUCACCAGAAAACCGCUGCAAUGUAAACGCUAAUUACUCUCCUCAAGAAACAUACAGCAAUCUAAGAGGUCUUCUUUUGUCAUCCGCAUUCCAACAAGAUCAAACCGUUCUAUCACUGAUCGAAGAUGCAGAGAGUCUUGCUGGCUGUUUCAUUGAUUUUCAAAUAUGAUCAAGAUGGGCUACAUUUUCAUCAACUUCAGUACAAUGGGUGAAUUGAUAAUUGGAAUGGAAGGGAAAAGGUAACAUGUAUCUGCAACUAGCACAAAGCUGAAGUGUAUAUUGACUGGGCAUGCUUUCAUAUGAGCAGAAGACAGAUUUGUUUCUUUCUUUGGUCCAUCCAUUAGAGAAAGGUGGAUGAUUUGAACAUUGGACUCUCAAUCAGAGGGAUGAAACAAUCGUCAUCUGAAACAAACUGUGGAUUGCUCUUUUUAUUUGCUAAGUAACUGUGAUUUACUUGAGUGUCCCCUUGUAUCUCGUUUGUGAAUUAUAGUUACUUUAUACUA